GGGCCGGCCGUGAGGGAGGGCGGAGGGCGGUGGCUCGGGGAGGCCUCGAGUUCGAGUCCCGGCGCCGGGCGGGUGUGGGACCCGCAGCGCAGGGCCCGGUCGCGCCGGUGAGCUCUGGACUGAGGGAAAAACAACCAGCCCAAACCAAGCCGGUUGCAUCCAGUUUUUCCUGUUGAAGGGCCAGGGUGGGGGAGAGAAGAGUUGAGGAGGAAUUAGUCAGUGGCCCAAGCAAAGUUACUGGAACAAGCACAGGAAUGACUCAGUAAGGAAGAAUAGUAACGAAGUCAUUGACUCUGCGAUGUUGUUUGAGCCACCCCAGCGUUCUGACCCCAAGGAAGCCCAUGUUUCCCUUGGGGGGGCUCACCUGCCUUACUCACACCCAAAGACCCCGGUGGCAGAAGCACCCACACAGCCCAGGAGCAGACUGAGCUCCCCGGGAUGUGCCACCCCUUGGACACCCCCUGGCAGACCAUCACCCCUUUUUACAGUGGAAACUCCAUCCGAGAUGAAAGGCACCAGGUCAAGCAUUGCUCAAAUAAGCAGAUAAUUAAAAGUAACUGAGAAAACCCAAGGCUCCAGACCCGUGCCAGGCCCGUGCAAAGCGACACCUUCUCUGGAGCGGGGCUGCACCAGCGAUGGACAGCUGGGAGAGUGCAGGGGGUGUGGAAGCAGCUGUAACCCCUUCUGGUGGCGGGUCGGUGCUCCAGGAGGGGCAGGGAGUGUGAGGACAUGCAUUUUUUCCAUGUUCAUUAGAGGUGGCAGCAGAAGGCCUCUCCUUGGGCGAUACCCAUCUCCUGUCCCCUCUCCCGUGCUGCAUCCCUGCUGCAUCCCUGCGGGGGGUGAUGCUCAGUCCCAGCCUGACCCCACCAUCCAUGGGCUGCCCACGUGCCCACCAUGUCCCAGCAAGGUCAGCAGCAGGCCAGCCCCAUCACAUGGAAUAUCCCCCAGCAGGACAGAAAACAUCAGCUGAGAACUCCCUUCAGGCAGCCAGCCACAGCCACAGCCACAGGAGUUUGGGGAUCUCGUAUUUGAAAGAGAAAAAGAGAGAGUCAAACGUUGUUUCAGAGGGGAGACCAUGAACACAGGACAGCUGCUGUUCCCCUUGAGAGAGACCAGGAAAAUCUGCUCAUCCAGGCUUUGAGAACCUCAGCAAAUGGACUAAACAUUGAGAUUCCCACCUGCACCACUGCAUCCAGCUCUGGGGUCCCCAACAAAAGGACAUGGACCUGCUGGAGCAAGUCCAGAGGAGGCCAUAAAGCAGCUCAGAGGGCUGGAGCACCUCUCCUGUGUAUAGAGUUGUUCAGGCAGGAGAAGGUUCCAAGAAGAUCUUAGAGCCCCCUCAGUAACUAAAAGUGCUACAAAAGUUUGAGAGGGACUUUCAACAAGGGCAUGAAGUGAGAGGACAAGGGGAAAUGGCUUCAAACUGACAUAAAGGGGAGGUUUAGAUUAGAUAUCAGAAGAAAUUCUUCCCUGUAUGUCUCUUUUACAAGCUACCUCCCAAACUGAAGAACAUCUUCAGGAAAGCCACAGGUCACAGCAGGGCUGUUUUUAGGAGUUGUUCUCUGAUCUGUUCACAGUCAGAUUGUGAAAGGAUACAUCGAGGUUACACGUUGUCUGUUUGCAUGUAAAUGCUCUCAAAGCAGAAAGCAGCUCUCCAGUUAUUGGGCAAUGCUCUGCUUGAUUUCAGUGCAUAACCAGCACUGUCAGUCAUUCAGUAUUAACUAUUUCAAGUUAUACCACCUCAAAUUUUAGCAGCUUCAUGGCAGCACUACAAUACUCAUAUUUUGCCCACAGUAUUUUAUCACAUUUCCCCAUUUCCUGAAUUCCAACGUGCAAACCCCCUUCUUUCUCCCUGGCCCAAAGCAGCCCAAUUAACAAGGUUUAAUGGCUGCUAUGACAACGUGCCACAAACAACACCCUCCUGUGAGGGCACAACCCAACCAGGUACGACUGCCUGGGGCGCUGGAGCACCGACCUGCUCUCAGAGCAAGCAGGGCACAGCAGUCCCAAGAAACAAGGAUUUUAGGGCAGCAAAAUCCACAUUUUCCCCAGUGCAGACCUUUUAUUAAAGGUUCCCUCCCGGAGAGCUGCUGAACACGAGGGAGGGGGGUCGGUGAGUCGAGUGACCACUGGAUGUCACUGCUGCUUUAGGCAUGGCCAGCAGGGCAGCCCUGCACGGGCACGGCUGGAGAGGCACCCCACAAACACCAACACCUCAGCCCGGACUGCCAGGCAGCCAGAAAGAACGUUAUAGCACCUCGGUUUCACUACACAGAAGUUUAUUAUGAAAGUUAAACAUACAACACAAAAAGUAGCAAAAGCAAUCCUGUAGCUUAAGGCAACUCUUACAGGAGAUGAAUUCGAGAAAGAUGAUGCAACUUCAGUUUAAAUAGAAAUCAUGAAAAAUAUCAAAUUGCAUCAAUAACUUAAAAUGCACUUUAAAAAGUCUGCACUAACCAGCAGAGGGGAAGGGCUGUGAUCUUAAUGCCAGCAUUAAGAUAUGGGAAGCAGCAGAAUGCUAAAUGAUGAUAGGGAAAGUUCAGUAUUUACACAGAGAUAGCAACGUUAAUAUCUGAGAGCGUCAUUUCCUGUGUACUUCUGGUUCAAAACCACCGUCUGAAACGUUAGGAAAACCUUUUAAAAUAAAUCUUCAGACUAUUCCAUCAAAAAUACACAGAUGGCAGAGAAGAUCCAAGGCUAGGGCUGCGUGCAGCUGCAUGCGUGUGUCCCUUAAAUAACUCUUUGCAGAAACACUUUAGAAAAAUUACUUCUUUGGGGAAGAAAAGCAAGAAGAGUACGUGGCCACAGAGUGAAAAAGAUUAUCUUUCAGGUGAAUCACAUUUAAAUUGAAGUAUCAAAAUAUUUCUAUUUGAUGAGAUUCUCACAGUUUACAGUUAAUGACAUUUUUAAGUGAAUGUUAAAUAUUCAUAUUAUUAACAUACAAAGAUUCUCCUUCACAUUGACAUCUGCUUACAUUUUUGCAAGACCUCUUUUGCAUCAAUUGUUUUGCCAUUAAUGAAGAACGUGUAAUUGUCUUAAUUAUAGAAUUUAAUAAAGAUUUAACUGUUCUAACCAUACAGAGUUUCUAGCUUCAAAAUAAUUCUUAAAAUACUGAAGUCAGAUCACCUAUUUUAAAAAGGUAUUUAAGUGACAUUUUAAUCAAUCAGGCUGUACAGGAAGCACCACAUUUUAACAAAGCCAAAUGACAUCACAUUUCCAAUCAAUUUUCUUCAAAUAUUGGAUGCAAUGAAAACUUUGGAACAAGUCCAUUCACCAUCACCCCAAAUAAACCAAGAUUAAUUCGCACAUUAAUUCAUCCCAAAUCUUACCCUGUUAGAAAAUGCAAUAUAUACUGCAAUGUAGUCUUAACUUGCAUAAGAUUUAAUAGCAGUGGCCUGUGUGCAGGGUGAGGCUUCUGCACACAACCUCAUCUCAGCUUUUCACCAUCCAGCACAACUUUUACAAAAAGCCUAAGAUAUAAAAUAUACUUAAAGCAGUUAUCUUAAACAUGAUUUCAUACAUAUCACCUUGGCAGCUGAUCAUUUUGUUCCCAGUUGAAAUGCUGUUGGAUCUGAUUGUGGAGUUGCAGUAUCCCUUUCCAGAAGGAGUUAAAAAAAUCCCUGAAUAAAGCAGAAGCCAGCCUGCGACUUCCUCUGAGUUUCAGUAAAGCACUAUACACAGGGGCCAAGAGCCACCCAAACUCACGGGAUACAGACAAAACCCAGGCCAGAGACCGGGGCAGAUGCAUUAAUGCCUGAAAAUAUACACUGGAAGAGUUUUAUCAUUUAAAAAGUGGAACUAAUGAAUCGUUAGCAGUUAAAAGAAUACUGCAACCGUAACGUUUACAAACCCACAAAAGUUUGAAAACUGAUUCCAACAGCUCUGAUUCACUGGGUUUAGCUUGGAAAUAACGCAAAAUAAUGUCAGCAGUUUUAAGAAGGUCUUGCAAAUUUGGAAAAAAAAAGAAAACUGAAAGAAAGAUAAGAAUGCGUAUCUAAAAUAAAGCAGGAGCACAGUUAGGACAAUGAAAAUUCCAAAAGCCCAUAUUAAAAAAUUAAGCUUGGAAUGCAUUGGCUUCCAGCAGUUUUU